UAGGGAAUCUUCCACAAUGGACGCAAGUCUGAUGGAGCAACGCCGCGUGAGUGAAGAAGGUUUUCGGAUCGUAAAGCUCUGUUGUUGGUGAAGAAGGAUAGAGGCAGUAACUGGUCUUUAUUUGACGGUAAUCAACCAGAAAGUCACGGCUAACUACGUGCCAGCAGCCGCGGUAAUACGUAGGUGGCAAGCGUUGUCCGGAUUUAUUGGGCGUCAAGCGAGCGCAGGCGGAAUGAUAAGUCUGAUGUGAAAGCCCACGGCUCAACCGUGGAACUGCAUCGGAAACUGUCAUUCUUGAGUGCAGAAGAGGAGAGUGGAAUUCCCUGUGUAGCGGUGGAAUGCGUAGAUAUAUGGAAGAACACCAGUGGCGAAGGCGGCUCUCUGGUCUGCAACUGACGCUGAGGCUCGAAAGCAUGGGUAGCGAACAGG
rnacentral:rRNA from 1 species